GACGAACGCUGGCGGCGUGCUUAACACAUGCAAGUCGAACGGAAAGGCCCUGCUUUUGUGGGGUGCUCGAGUGGCGAACGGGUGAGUAACACGUGAGUAACCUGCCCUUGACUUUGGGAUAACUUCAGGAAACUGGGGCUAAUACCGGAUAGGAGCUGCUGCUGCAUGGUGGGGGUUGGAAAGUUUCGGCGGUUGGGGAUGGACUCGCGGCUUAUCAGCUUGUUGGUGGGGUAGUGGCUUAUCAAGGCUUUGACGGGUAGCCGGCCUGAGAGGGUGACCGGCCACAUUGGGACUGAGAUACGGCCCAGACUCCUACGGGAGGCAGCAGUGGGGAAUAUUGCACAAUGGGCGGAAGCCUGAUGCAGCAACGCUGCGUGCGGGAUGACGGCCUUCGGGUUGUAAACCGCUUUCGCCUGUGACGAAGCGUGAGUGACGGUAAUGGGUAAAGAAGCACCGGCUAACUACGUG
rnacentral:rRNA from 1 species